UCGGCAUACUGCUCAGUAACACAUGGAUAAUCUGCCCUUAGGUGGAGGAUAUCCCCGGGAAACUGGGACUAAUACUCCAUAGUGGAUAUAUGCUGGAAUGCUGUAUCCUCGAAAGAUUAAUCGCCUAAGGAUGAGUCUAUGCCCGAUUAGGUUGUUGGCGGGGUAACGGCCCACCAAGCCAUUGAUCGGUACGGGUUGUGGGAGCAAGAUCCCGGAGAUGGAUUCUGAGACAUGAAUCCAGGCCCUACGGGGCGCAGCAGGCGCGCAAACUUUACAAUGCGAGCAAUCGUGAUAAGGAAACCCUGAGUGCCUGUCGAUGCAGGCUGUUCAUAUAUCUAAAUCAUAUGUGAAGAAAGGGCAGGGCAAGACCGGUGCCAGCCGCCGCGGUAAUACCGGCUGCUCGAGUGAUAACCACUAUUACUGGGUUUAAAGCGUCCGUAGCUUGAUUGUUAGGUCUCUUGGGAAAUCUUCACGCUCAACGUGAAGGCGUCUAAGAGAUACCGGCAAUCUUGGAACUGGGAGAGGUAAACCGUACUUCGGGGGUAGGAGUGAAAUCUUGUAAUCCUCGAGGGACGACCUAUGGCGAAGGCAGUUUACCAGAACAGCUUCGACAGUGAGGGACGAAAGCUGGGGGAGCAAACGGGAUUAGAUACCCCGGUAGUCCCAGCCGUAAACAAUGUGCGUUAGGUCUGUCGGUAACCACGUGUUACUGAUGAGCCGAAGAGAAAUCGUGAAACGCAUCACCUGGGAAGUACGGUCGCAAGGCUGAAACUUAAAGGAAUUGGCGGGGGAGCACCACAACAGGUGGAGCCUGCGGUUUAAUUGGAUUCAACGCCGGACAUCUCACCGGA
rnacentral:rRNA from 1 species